rnacentral:lncRNA from 1 species
GGAGUCCCGUAACUGCAUCUUGCGCACAAAGGCGGACUGGGUUCAGCAGCGAACCCCACCAGAGCACACCGAUCCCGAUGGCGCGGAAGGUGCUCUGCUAGCGGCAACGAAGAUGGAUAUUUAGUGCAAACACUGGGAGACCGACUGCCUCGAACAUUCCAAAGAGGACCUUCAGUGGGCAGAGUAGGUGGGCGAGGCUUCUGCUGCUGAAGGUCGCGGAGCCCUUCCGUUUGCCUCUCUCCCGGAUGCUUCUCCUCCUGUUUGCGCUUGCGGAAGGGGUGAAGUCAACACCCUUUUGUGUGAAAUGUGGGAUAGUUAAACCAUAUCGCAUUCUUAUCCUCGUCUGCACUUUCAGUGGUUCUGCCCUUCUGUGGUGGGCCUUCAGCCUCUCCACCUGGGUGAGGAUAGAAAUCCCAAGUGGCUCCCAAGUCCUUUUCAGCGCUCUUUUUGCAAUAUGCAGUGGUGAGAUCAAGUGUUGGAUUCCACUAUCAAAAUCAAGUAUCUGUGUGUUCCUUGCAUUACUGCUGCACUCUCUGCAUGUUUUGAAAGUAACCAACUUAUGCAAGGAUGCGAAAAUCACCUUUCUCUACCCUACUUUCAUCCUUUCAUUCAGCGCCAUACUAUUUUUCUUAUCUGGAAUCCUCUGCUUAUUCAGCUCCCAUCAUUGUUGGCUUCAGUGCGUCUUACAGCAACCAAUCCAAGUGAAACCUAUGCAAAUGUCAGUGGUCAGUGGGAACUCAGCAAUGGUCACAGAAAGGACACCGGGUAGAGAUGGCUAGCCUAACCUCAGUGGUGGUGAGAAAGCUGAUUUUAGAAGAAACAUGUCUCACCUGUAAUUCAAGAUUUCACAGCUAUACACACACUCUUAUUUAAUUACUGCAUAAGACUGGAAAGAGUUGGCUGGUUACUAAUCAUUGUUCAAGAUAUGGCUUAGGAUUCCGGGGACUUAGAUAUUCAUAAGAGAGAAAACACAGUUGGGGUGUGGGGAAAGUUGAGUGUUUGGCUCUUGGGGACUUGAAAUGAAAAAAACUUCUCUUCACCUUGAAGAUUCUUCUCUUGGCACCCAUUUCCCAACCCUCUUGCUGGUAUGCCUGGUCUCCUGGCAGUGGUUUUUUUUAGCAGUAACAAAACUCUCUCUCCACUAUAAAGCCUGAGUUUGAUAAAAACAAAUUUUUUUUCUGCUCUCUGGGAAUUUCAUGAGUGGAAUCUUUUCACUACUGUGUUAUUCGGGACUCUUUUUUUUUUUUUUUUUUUUUUGCAUGUAACAAACCUUAUCCAAACUACCUUCAACAAAAAUUGAAUUUAUUGGAUGCAGGGGUUACCUCAUAGACUCAAAAAAAGUUCUGGUAGAAUCAGGGCUACAUGAGAGAGUUGGGGAGCUGGAAUCUUGAGAUCAUUUCCUCAGGAUACUAUUUUUUUAAACUAUCCACUGAAGGUUAAUGGAAUUUCUCAAUCCUUAAAAUGGAAGCACUAUCCUAAAUUCCUCUUGCUCAUCACUUUCAAUGAAUCACCAAAGCUUGUCCUUUCCACCUCAACAAGACUUCCGUUCCCCUCCCUGAGCCCUCCUCACUGGUCAUCGUGACCAGGUCUUUGUCAUCCCUGCCCAGACUGUGUUGUCUCUGAAUGUGGCUUGUCCCCCACUGUGGCCUACCUCUGCGAAGCUGCCCAGCUCGAGCUUCCUAAAAUACAGAGAUGAGAAUGUGCUCCUUAAAAGCCUAUUUUGCCUUCUUCUGGCCUUCAGGAUAAAUUCCUUAUCUUGAUAAAUAAAGUUAUUUACAAGUUGGCAUCAACC